GGUCUGCUGGUCCUGGGUUACCAACGUGAACAGUACGUUACUGUCCUGCAUCCUGUGGGCAGCUGUAACACCUUGAAUAUUUGUCACACAGAUAUUUAAAUGGAACCAGGACUGUACAUAACCAUGACAUAAUACUCUGUCAAAAAGAGAAAGAAGUUAAUCAGGUUGGCUUCUUCCUUUGGAUUACCAGCUCAUUUAAAUAGCAGAAUAAAACAGAAGAAAGAAUGGACAAGUGGAGAACAAGAAAAAACAAACAAAUAAACAAACAAAAGCCUCUUCUUAAGGCAAGUAGAACAAUGCUGCAUCUUACGGGAUGGACGUAAUUGUUUCUUCAUCAGGGGACACAGUGUAGAACACACUUUCUAAAGGAAUCCAGGUGAAUACGUUGAGGACACAGCAGUGCCUUCACAGCCUACGUAUAAAGAGAACUUUGUCU